rnacentral:rRNA from 1 species
UGGGGAAUUUUGGACAAUGGGCGCAAGCCUGAUCCAGCCAUGCCGCGUGCGGGAAGAAGGCCUUCGGGUUGUAAACCGCUUUUGUCAGGGAAGAAAUCUUCCGAGUUAAUACCUCGGGAGGAUGACGGUACCUGAAGAAUAAGCACCGGCUAACUACGUGCCAGCAGCCGCGGUAAUACGUAGGGUGCAAGCGUUAAUCGGAAUUACUGGGCGUAAAGCGUGCGCAGGCGGUUUUGUAAGACAGAGGUGAAAUCCCCGGGCUCAACCUGGGAACUGCCUUUGUGACUGCAAGGCUUGAGUGCGGCAGAGGGGGAUGGAAUUCCGCGUGUAGCAGUGAAAUGCGUAGAUAUGCGGAGGAACACCGAUGGCGAAGGNAAUCCCCUGGGCCUGCACCUGGACGCUCAUGCACGAAAGCGU